rnacentral:piRNA from 1 species
UCCCAUAAAGAAUGACCCCAUGUAUAACAG